CUAACAAAUAAGGCAGUCUAAAAACUCCAGGCAUCCCUUUCCGUAAGGACCCGGACUGUUGAACCGAAAGCUAAAAUUCAAGACGUGACAACUGCCCUUUGUCCCACAUUCUCCCACCGGUCGCCUGCUUAUUUAAAUGGUGCGUCCCCUCGGGUACCACUCGAACAAAAUUUGCGCGGAGCGCUCCCUGUGUAGAUUCGUUGGAAGCAGCUGGAGGCUCCAGUUCUCAUCUGCUCAGGUGUCCCUGGCGCCUUGACGAACUCGGCCUCUCCAGUUCCUCACCUGGUGAGCCCUCAGGACAGCGGACUGAUUUUGAGGGGCGCGGCUCGCAGCGGCGGGUGCAGGGGCGACUGCCAGCCCUCACCCCGCCUCAGGGUGCGUUCGGAGGCCGACACCUGGCGGACGCCUCCCCGCGGGACGCCACGCCUGCGCGCCGGGGAUCUGGGAUAAGAAGUGCGCGCCUGGCUUGGGCUGCGCGCCGCUGGGACACCAGUUUGCGCGCAGGGCUCAGACGACCGUGCGGCCAUGGACAUGCCGCGGGGCAUUGGCACCUUCGUGGUGUGGGACUACGUGGUGUUCGCGGGCAUGCUGGUCAUCUCGGCCGCCAUCGGCAUCUACUACGCCUUCGCUGGGGGCGGCCAGCAGACCUCCAAGGAUUUCCUAAUGGGCGGCCGCAGAAUGACGGCCGUGCCCGUGGCGCUGUCCCUCACCGCUAGCUUCAUGUCGGCUGUCACCGUCCUGGGCACCCCCUCCGAGGUCUACCGUUUUGGGGCCAUUUUUAGCAUCUUUGCCUUCACCUACUUCUUUGUAGUGGUCAUCAGCGCGGAGGUCUUCCUCCCGGUGUUCUACAAACUGGGAAUUACCAGCACCUAUGAGUAUUUAGAACUUCGAUUUAACAAAUGUGUUCGUCUCUGUGGAACAGUCCUGUUCAUUGUUCAAACAAUUCUGUAUACUGGAAUUGUUAUUUAUGCCCCUGCCCUGGCUUUGAAUCAAGUCACAGGAUUUGAUCUGUGGGGCGCGGUGGUGGCAACAGGGGUGGUCUGCACAUUCUACUGCACACUGGGUGGUCUUAAAGCAGUCAUCUGGACAGAUGUUUUUCAAGUUGGGAUCAUGGUGGCUGGAUUUGCAUCCGUGAUUAUACAGGCUGCGGUGAUUCAAGGUGGAAUCAGCACUAUUUUAAAUGAUGCCUAUAAUGGUGGAAGAUUAAAUUUCUGGAAUUUUAAUCCUAACCCUUUGCAAAGACACACCUUCUGGACAAUUAUUAUAGGAGGGACCUUCACAUGGAGCAGCAUCUAUGGUGUCAACCAAUCCCAGGUGCAGAGAUAUAUUUCUUGUAAAAGCAGAUUCCAAGCAAAAUUGUCUCUCUACAUCAAUCUUGUGGGACUCUGGGCAAUCCUCACGUGCUCAGUGUUUUGUGGGCUCGCCCUGUAUUCUAGGUACCGUGACUGUGAUCCUUGGACAGCCAAGAAAGUGUCUGCACCAGACCAGCUCAUGCCUUAUUUGGUACUGGACAUUCUGCAAGAUUAUCCAGGACUUCCUGGACUUUUUGUGGCCUGUGCUUACAGUGGGACGUUAAGCACAGUGUCCUCCAGUAUUAAUGCCUUAGCAGCAGUAACUGUGGAAGAUCUAAUCAAACCUUACUUCAGAUCGCUCUCAGAAAGGUCUCUGUCUUGGAUUUCCCAAGGAAUGAGUGUGGUAUAUGGAGCCCUAUGUAUUGGAAUGGCUGCGCUGGCCUCACUUAUGGGAGCUUUGUUGCAGGCAGCACUCAGCAUAUUUGGUAUGGUUGGUGGACCACUUAUGGGCCUGUUCGCUUUGGGCAUUUUGGUUCCCUUUGCCAACUCAAUUGGAGCACUUGUUGGUCUGAUGGCUGGAUUUGCUACUUCUCUAUGGGUUGGAAUUGGAGCUCAAAUGUAUCCUCCACUUCCUGAGAGAACGUUGCCAUUGCAGCUUGAUAUCCAAGGCUGUAACAGCACAUACAACGAGACAAAUUUGAUGACAACCACAGAAAUGCCCUUUACUACUGGUGUUUUUCAAAUACACAAUGUUCAAAGGACUCCACUGAUGGAUAACUGGUAUUCUUUAUCAUAUCUGUACUUCAGCACUGUUGGAACGUUGGUAACAUUAUUAGUGGGGAUACUUGUCAGUUUACCAACAGGUCUACUAUGUGGGAUAUUUUUUCACUUACUUUUCCAAUAAUUCUCAAAGGAGUGCUCUGAUCCAGUUUUGAGAAUAGUCUGUAGGGGAACGAGGGCAGGGAAGAGGCUAUUGCAGUAACCCAGGAGGAAGAAAACAGAACUUAGACCCCAGAUAUGUACUAACCAAAGAGGACUUUUUAUCCAAUUUUGAUAUUUUUAAGAAAAAGAAGCAUGUUUUAAACUAUAAAUCGCAUCCAGUGGAAGAUGGUGGAACUGAUAAUCCUGCUUUCAACCACAUUGAAUUGAACUUCUCAGAUCAGAGUGGCAAGAGCAAUGGGACUCGUUUGUGAAGCAGCUCUGAUAUUAGAUGCCCUUAAAUGAUGUUUCAAUUUUAUAUGUUUUCUAAGAUAAUUGGAUCAGGUUUUCUUUGUGUGUGUGUGUUGUAUCAUGAGUGUUUGGGGGAUAAGGUUUUGUUAAAACAAAGUCUGGACUAUCUUCACUUACUACAUCAUUAAUUGAUGUUACUCUGGAGUUUAGAAUUUUGGCAUUGACAUUUCCCUCUCUUUCCUUUAUUUCAAUGAAGCUGUAAUUGUGAAAAUUAUAACUACAUAGACGCUGAAA